UGACGCUGGCGGCGUGCCUAAUACAUGCAAGUAGGACGCACAGUUUAUACCGUAGCUUGCUACACCAUAGACUGUGAGUUGCGAACGGGUGAGUAACGCGUAGGUAACCUGCCUAUUAGAGGGGGAUAACUAUUGGAAACGAUAGCUAAUACCGCAUAACAGUAUGUAACACAUGUUAGAUGCUUGAAAGAUGCAAUUGCAUCGCUAGUAGAUGGACCUGCGUUGUAUUAGCUAGUAGGUAGGGUAAUGGCCUACCUAGGCGACGAUACAUAGCCGACCUGAGAGGGUGAUCGGCCACACUGGGACUGAGACACGGCCCAGACUCCUACGGGAGGCAGCAAUCACUAGUAG
rnacentral:rRNA from 1 species